CGCACAUUGCACUCCUUGGUAUUCCGGGGAGUAUGCUUGUCCGAGCGUCAUUUCACCUCUCAAGCUCAAGCUUGGUAUUGGACUAUUAUUGUUGACAAACGAUAUGUCCGAAAACGAGUAGCAGAUUGUUGAACUUCAGCGCAGUGAAAUAUAUUCGUCAUGAAGCUUUGAUCAUCCUGCCAAAAAACCAUUUUCAAUAUCUUGACCUCGGAUCAAGUAGGGAUACCCGCUGAACUUAA
rnacentral:misc_RNA from 1 species